rnacentral:rRNA from 1 species
UACGUAGGGACCAAGCGUUGUUCGGAUUUACUGGGCGUAAAGGGCGCGUAGGCGGCAUUGUUAGUCACUUGUGAAAUCUCCGGGCUUAACUCGGAACGGCCAAGUGAUACUGCAGUGCUAGAGUGCGGAAGGGGCAAUCGGAAUUCUUGGUGUAGCGGUGAAAUGCGUAGAUAUCAAGAGGAACACCAGAGGUGAAGACGGGUUGCUGGGCGGACACUGACGCUGAGGCGCGAAAGCCAGGGGAGCAAACGGG